AAAAUGAAAUGGAAGCAUUGAACACAUUUGGUUUAUAUUGCAAUGAUAACUGUGCACACAGAAGACAGCUUAUUUUUACUCUUGCAUUAAAAUAUUUUUCCUCUCAAAUAUGUAAUCAUUAGCACUCGCAUCAAUUUAAAAAUGUAUGGCAAAACUAACAACGAACAUGAUCUCAAUCUAAGUGAAUUCAUGGUAAAAUUUAAAAUAAAAAUACAAGCACAAACAUAUACAAUGAUGAUUAACGAGUGAAUGAAGAGAUAUACUAGAUAGACUAGAAUAUUUAUAAC